rnacentral:lncRNA from 1 species
CAAUGGCUGGUUGUUUAUGUAUCACAGUUGUUUCAGUCCAUGCUGAGUAUUGCCAAACUAUAGAACAAGACCAACCCCACCUAGAGCAGCACGGUUCCCUGAGGACAGGGCUAUGUACUGGACGUGCAACUGGUGCACUUGGCUGGCUUCAACAGACCUUGUACCAGACCUUGGGCAAGAGUCAUGAAGGAAUGUUCACUGCUGAACUUGGCCAAAAACUUAUCCUGUGUUGCAACAAGGUGAAUGUCACGUUGUGUAAAGGACAGUGCACACAUAAAAUACCCACUGUGCUGAUGUUUACACGAUGUACAUUUUUGGAUCAGUGUGCAACUGAUCAUGCCAAACUCUCCAGUGUUGGUUCAUGAAAAGCACACCAGACUGCCUCAGGUAAGUCUUCUCCUCUUAACUUAGUUAACUAUGGUUUAACAACACAAAUAGGUACAUCUUUCAUCUCCUCUGUUAGGGCAGCUUUACAACCUCUUUUCAUUGUGAGUGCAAUACAAUGGGUGGAUUUGUGGAUCAGAAUUCAAUCCAGAAUGGAUCUGAAAUACAAUGGAGUUACUACACCUUGAAAUUAAUGUUACUGAGAUCAGGAAGUUUACUGCUGCAUUCAUCCCCCUGCUUUUUUCACUGAAGUCCAAGUUGAAAUCCGUUCAUCAGGAGCAUUUGUAACAUAGUUCAUCAGGCUAUGGGUCAACAUUUUAAAAGUUAACCAAAUAAAAUUUUAUAAAGUCAUUGUUUGCAAAUAUUCGCAGUGAAGGGAAAUGGUGGUAGAUGUUUGGCAUGUGCGUAGAUAUAAGCUUUGUUCAACAC